ensembl:lncRNA LINC00499 long intergenic non-protein coding RNA 499
GGGCAUGGUGUGCUUGUCUGAUGGACAGGGCAGCUUAGGGGAAUAAGUCUCUGCAGCGUUGUAGUGAAGAGAGAAUACGGGACAACUGCAGGACCACAGCUCAGCCAAGAGCUCCCUUGCAGCUGAGUUGGCCAUAUGACUGACAGCAAGCCCUGGAAUGCAGCCAGAAGUGAUAGAAGCCUCUUUCACACCAUGCUCCUAAAAUAUUCCAAGAAAUUUUCCAAACCUACUCUUUUUAGUCUGUGCAUCUGGAAGUGAAAGUUUUAGAAAGGGUAAAGUCACUUAAUGGAAAGGGCCCAGAUCUAGCCCCUCGGAGCCAAGCUGUCCAACUAGAAAUUCUGCAUUAGUAUUUGCGACCCCAGUAAAAAAAAAAAAGUCCCACAAAGAUGUAGGAUCUCACUUUGCCUGCGUUAAUUCCCUGUCCUUUGCCCAGUUUCUCCUCUCUUGGAAGGCAGAGGCAGCUUCUGAUUUUGAUCACUUCAUGUCCAGUGAGCUCAAGUGUUGCAAGUAUCUGCUUAAAAUGCCAUGUGAUGCUAAUCAUCUCUGCACGAGCAGUUCAUCUCAUCUCUCCAGUAAAUUGCUUAUCACAGUAAAAGCAGAUCUUUGGAGAGAAAAUGCCAAGAGUGGAUGGAGAGGCAAUGGUGAAGCUGAGGCUGAAGUCGGAGGAAGCUGUGAACCCUGCAUGGGGUACCUGAACACCAGGGCAAGUUUCUGGCCCAGAAUGGCUUCUGGGAAAGGGGAUAUGACAUCUUAGGAAGAAGGGACUGGGGGAAAGAAAGCACUUUCUGCUUCUGUGGAUAUAAACACACAGUGUUUUAUUCCCUAGUGCAACAAAACCUCAAGAUCAACAGACAAGAGCUGAAAACCCUUUCCCACCAGACACAGUGCCAUCUAAAUGUUCUCUCAAAAGAUAGCAUCUCAUAAACAAUUUCAACAAAAGGAUGUCAGCUUUUACUUUAUGUGCAUGCACAAAAUCACUUUUCAGGAAAAAAAAUGACCAUUACCGAAUCCAUCAUAAAAUUAAUUACAUUUAGUUGAUCACGUUGGCUGACUGGUUAUAACUCUUGCUGUAUUUUCCAGAAGUGUGUUUCAUUUUAUUUAUCAUUAAAGGAAAAAAUAUUGUAGUUUUCCAA